AGGUAUUCCGGUAGACGAUGGGGAUGCGUUCCAUUAGAUAGUAGGCGGGGUAACGGCCCACCUAGUCUUCGAUGGAUAGGGGUUCUGAGAGGAAGGUCCCCCACAUUGGAACUGAGACACGGUCCAAACUCCUACGGGAGGCAGCAGUGAGGAAUAUUGGUCAAUGGGCGAGAGCCUGAACCAGCCAAGUAGCGUGAAGGAUGACUGCCCUAUGGGUUGUAAACUUCUUUUAUAAAGGAAUAAAGUCGGGUAUGGAUACCCGUUUGCAUGUACUUUAUGAAUAAGGAUCGGCUAACUCCGUGCCAGCAGCCGCGGUAAUACGGAGGAUCCGAGCGUUAUCCGGAUUUAUUGGGUUUAAAGGGAGCGUAGAUGGAUGUUUAAGCCAGUUGUGAAAGUUUGCGGCUCAACCGUAAAAUUGCAGUUGAUACUGGAUAUCUUGAGUGCAGUUGAGGCAGGCGGAAUUCGUGGUGUAGCGGUGAAAUGCUUAGAUAUCACGAAGACUCCGAUUGCGAAGGCAGCCUGCUAAGCUGCAACUGA
rnacentral:rRNA from 1 species